rnacentral:rRNA from 1 species
GGGGGCUAAGCUUCGUUGUCGAGAGGGGAACAGCCCAGACCGCCGAUUAAGGUCCCUAAUUUUAUGCUAAGUGAGUAAGGAAGUGAUGAUUCUAAGACAGUUGGAAUGUUGGCUUAGAGGCAGCAAUCAUUUAAAGAGUGCGUAACAGCUCACCAAUCGAGAAUCAUCGCGCCAAUAAUAUCCGGGGCUUAAGCAUAAAACCGACAUCGCGGGUGCAUAUGUUUAAUAUGCGCGGUAGGAGAGCGUAGUAUUCAGCUGUGAAGGCAUACCGAAAGGAGUGUUGGA